AUCUUAUGAUGAAAGUACACUCCAGUUCUGCAACUGAAUGGAUGUGAUGUUAACCCUUUACCAAACUUUCUGAAGA